CAGACUGCUUUUCUAACGGAAAUAUUUUAAUUCUCUUUGUAGUUUUGGUGUUUUUUUUACACUGUUGAAUAUUCAACAAAAUGGAAAAUUAACUACUAAGAUAAUUAAAGUUUUGCUCUCUCCGCUGUUAAAACAUAGAACAUCCUGUUGUUUUUUUAAAAAAUGUUUUUAUAAUGAAGUGAUUGAUUGUUUUACUCUAAAGAUGUCAACCAGUAAGGACGCCGAAACUCUUAGAUUGCUCCGACAACUCCUGAAUUUGGAGGAGACACCGAGACCUCCCCGGAGAGCAAGGGUUGAAAAUGCGGGUAGGAAUUUAUAUCGGAACCGUAGACGCCAUACCGAAACCGAGAGUUGACUUCUCUUGAAAACUUGGCGGGUUCAUCAAACGCAACUACGCCGAUGAUAAAGAUGAUGCCGAUUUGGCCAAUGACAAUGCCCUCGGCAAAUGCAUCAUCGGCAUUUUUAACAUCAUUCGGUUAUGGCUGGUAUCCCUACAUGCCAUUCCAAACUCUGCCGGCUGCAGGCUCAAAAAGUGAGUCUCCACAGCCCGAACGGAUUCCAGAAGCCGAGCCCGAACGGGUGCUUACUGCACAGGCUGCAGCACUAGAGGGCCAACAAUGCGAUCAGCCAAAAGAAUAAUUUAAAAUAAUUAAAAAAAAUAAAAAAGUAAUAAAAUUAAUUAAAUAAAU